rnacentral:rRNA from 1 species
UACGGAGGGCGCAAGCGUUAAUCGGAAUCACUGGGCGUAAAGCGCGCGUAGGCUGUUUGAUAAGUCAGGCGUGAAAUCCCUCGGCUCAACCGGGGAACUGCGUUUGAUACUGUUAGACUCGAGUCCCGGAGAGGGUGGCGGAAUUCCAGGUGUAGGAGUGAAAUCCGUAGAUAUCUGGAGGAACACCGGUGGCGAAGGCGGCCACCUGGACGGGUACUGACGCUGAGGCGCGAAAGCGUGGGGAGCAAACAGGAUUAGAUACCCUGGUAGUCCACGCGGUAAACGAUGGAUGCUAGGUGUCGGGGAGCGAUCUUCGGCGCCGCAGCUAACGCAUUAAGCAUCCCGCCUGGGGAGUACGGUCGCAAGGCUGAA